rnacentral:misc_RNA from 1 species
GUGAAUCAUCGAAUCUUUGAACGCAAAUUGCACUCUCCUCGGAGAGUAUGCCUGUUUGAGGGUCAGCCUAUAAAUAUCGACAUCGUUGCUGUUUCGCGGUGGCGUUCGUCGGAAAUUGGGUCACCUUAAAUCCUUUUGAUUUAUGCGUCUUAAAAUUUUCUUUUUGUUCAAUGAACGUAUCUAAGUUCUAUUUCUUUACACGUUUAUGGUAUU